rnacentral:rRNA from 1 species
CUUAGUGGAUGCCAUUAUAGAUGGAUUUGGAAAGUGAAAACACCACUCAAAAUCAAGAUUUUUCUUUGGCAGUUGUCCUAGGAUGUAGUGCUCACUAGGCAAGUCAUGAGAACGAGGAAAUGGCCUGGGAAUCCCACAUGCUCCUUUUCAAAUGAGUUGGAAACGUCCCAACAUCUGUUGUUCACCUGUCCUGUGGACAGGGUGGUCUGGAGAUGCGUUGGGGUGGUGCUGGGCACGGAGAUGUGCCCAAAUAGCUACUGGCAAUAUUUUGCUUGGUGUCAUGAUUUUUCCCCUACAAGACAAAAGUAUUAUACUGUGGGCCUGGCUGCUACUUGCUGGGCCAUUUGGCUAGCUCAAAAUCGUGCUACAUUCGAAAUGAAGGUAAUCAAAAGGCCCUUUGAGAUAGUUUUCUCCAUGUGUUCUUUUCUGUUGUAUUGGGUAGGGCUACAGCAAGAGGACACUACUAGGGAAAAGCCUAGCAGCAGCAAGGGUUUUAGGCCUAUCAGUAGCGCGGGCUGGAGCGCUACUAGUACGGCGCUACAGCUAAACGUUACCAGUAGCGUGCCUCAACCCACGCUACUGCUAAAUCGACUUAGUAGUAGCGAUUUCCCGGAGGAGCGCUACUGGUAA